GAGUGGAAAACAGAGGGGAAGACAGGGAGGGAGGGGGAGACAGGUGGAGAGGUGGAGAGAGGGAGAGAGAGUGGGAAACAGAGGGGAAGAGAGAGAGAGGGAGAGAGAAAGAGAGAGAGAAGGAAAGAGGGGGAAAGAAAGAGGGUAGACAGGAAGGGGAUAGGGAGGGUGGGUUCACACAUUGAAGCCCCCUCAGCUGUCCAGUCCAGGACAGGGGAGGUAGAGAGUAAAGAUGGGCUCCUCUCAGCAGCUCAGAGGACACUACAGAGAGUAUUGAGAGGGGGAGCUACCAGCCACAGGUGCUGGUGCAGAGCACAUGGGUGUAGCCUCUCAGUCAGCUGCAGCUGUGGUCCUGCCAAGAGAAGGGAUAAUCCUAUCACACAGUCAUGCUGCUGAGAGAGGCAGAGCAGUCCUAGUACCAUGGCUACAGUACGAUACGCCAGCCAGGUGCAGUCGGCACCAGCAGAACCUCGCCUUGUGCCGUAGUCUUUCCACAGCCUGCUGUCUCCAAACAGAGCCACAAACAACAACUUGUAAACACACACAGACAGAGAUGCCAGAUGCCGGGCUGAGUGUGUGUGUCCUCAAUCGACGCAAGGCAUCAGAUCAUCAUCUCCUAAACCCAGUGAGCUCUGUAUUAUCUCAGUUAAAAUCCACACUGACUAUCAACACACAGAUGCUGCUGCUCGAUGGCUGUACUGUCCUGGCCCCAUUCCUCUCUCUCUCUCUCUCUCUCUCUCUCUCUCUCUCUCUCUCUCUCUGUCACUCUCUGUCACUCUCUCUCCCCAUCUCUCUCCCCAUCUCUCUCUGUCUGUCUGUCUGUCUGUCUGUCUGUCUGUCUGUCUGUCUGUCUGUCUGUCUGUCUGUCUGUCUGUCUGUCUGUCUGUCUGUCUGUCUGUCUGUCUGGGAAACCCUGUGCUUAUUGACUAAAACAAAAUCCAGGAAACAAAUGUCUAAAUAAGCAUUAAAUGGCUCAACUAUCCCUUAAAGAAUUAGCUAGCUGCCCCAGACAAGACAAGACGGGAUGGUAAUGAUAAACAACUUAACUUCUCAUCCCUGAUGCCGAGUCCCUAUGGGUUUAUCCACUGAGUCAGGUCAAAAUCAGGACAUGAUAGGCCUGUAUGUGUAUAUAUAUAUAUAUAUAUAUAUAUAUAUAUAUUACACAAUUAUUAUUAUAAUUGUUUUAUAAAUUGUUACCAAAAGGAGGCCUAUAAUAAAAAUAGAACAUGAAAAUGAGUUUAUUUUCAGUGUCCUACAUCUCCUCCCUGAGCCAUAAGCAUCAAUUACUUAUUAUAACAGCACAAUAAAGUGGCAAUCAGCAGUAGCAACUAUAACAAAGUGUAUUGUUUCUUCUCCCCGCCCCUGUUUUCCUAAAAAGCUGAUUGAGUGAGAAAUGUAAUCACUCAAACCAUUCACAUA
rnacentral:lncRNA from 8 species